AACGAACGCUGGCGGCAUGCCUAACACAUGCAAGUCGAACGAGACCUUCGGGUCUAGUGGCGCACGGGUGCGUAACGCGUGGGAACCUGCCCUUAGGUUCGGAAUAACUCCCCGAAAGGGGUGCUAAUACCGGAUAAUGUCUUCGGACCAAAGAUUUAUCGCCUUUGGAUGGGCCCGCGUUGGAUUAGCUAGUUGGUAGGGUAAAAGCCUACCAAGGCGACGAUCCAUAGCUGGUCUGAGAGGAUGAUCAGCCACACUGGGACUGAGACACGGCCCAAACUCCUACGGGAGGCAGCAGUGGGGAAUAUUGGACAAUGGGCGAAAGCCUGAUCCAGCAAUGCCGCGUGAGUGAUGAAGGCCUUAGGGUUGUAAAGCUCUUUUACCCGGGAUGAUAAUGACAGUACCGGGAGAAUAAGCUCCGGCUAACUCCGUG
rnacentral:rRNA from 1 species